rnacentral:rRNA from 1 species
GAUGAACGCUAGCGGCAGGCUUAACACAUGCAAGUCGAGGGGUAACAGAGAGUGCUUGCACUUUGCUGACGACCGGCGCACGGGUGCGUAACGCGUAUACAAUCUACCUCUUACUGAGGGAUAGCCCAGAGAAAUUUGGAUUAAUACCUCAUAGUAUGUUAGAGUGGCAUCACUUUAAUAUUAAAGGUUACGGUAAGAGAUGAGUAUGCGUUCUAUUAGCUAGUAGGUAUGGUAACGGCAUACCUAGGCAACGAUAGAUAGGGGCCCUGAGAGGGGGAUCCCCCACACUGGUACUGAGACACGGACCAGACUCCUACGGGAGGCAGCAGUGAGGAAUAUUGGUCAAUGGGCGCAAGCCUGAACCAGCCAUGCCGCGUGCAGGAAGACUGCCCCUAUGGGUUUGUAAAACUGCUUUUAUACAGGAAGAAACACUCCCUCGUGAGGGAGCUUGACGGUACUGUAAGAAUAAGGAUG